NNNNNNNNNNNNNNNNNNNNNNNNNNNNNNNNNNNNNNNNNNNNNNNNNNCAGUCCUUGGCUGCACCCCUGCGGCCGGGAGCACCUGGGACCCCGGUUCUGUCGCGGCUGCCCCCGCAGCGAUGCAGUUCCCUCCCCAACCUGCCAGGACACCAGGGGUGUGUGCAGGGGCCUGUGGACAUGGCCUCGAGGCCACAACCAUGGGCCCCUUUCCCUUCAGCUCCUGCCAGGGCCACCCGUGUGGCCACACCCCAGACCAGGCCCCAAAACGUCUUGGGGUCUCGUGGGAUGAGGUCUCCCCAGCCCAGGAAGGAGGACGCGGUAGGGCCCGGGACACCCUUCCUGCCCUGGGGCCUCCGCAGCUCCUGCCCCUGUGUGCGCUUGGACCGGCCCAGCCGAGACACCCGUGGGCCAGUGCAGAGCCCGCAGCCCCAGGGCCCUGCACGUGCCUGGGCCCCGCUGACCAUCUCCUCGAUGCGCAAUGUCCAUUCCCCAAGGCCUCUGGAGAAGAGCUUGGGGGCCGAGAGGCUCUGGGCAGCCAGCACGGAGCCCUGCCUCCUCACUCUCGACUUUUUAGAAGAUGGCACCCUCGCCAGGAGGUACAAGUCACUGACCUAGAGGGACUUCCGCUGGCCUGACCCCAGGCCCGGGGGAGCAGAGAGGACACAAGCUCCCCACCCCCACAAUGACCAGAAGGAGAACUGAGGGGUCUGAGGCCCCAUGGCCUCGGGAAGUCCUGAGUUCUGACCCAAAGCUGGUGAAGUCCACGGAGAACUCUCUGUGUCCGCCUGGGGACUGGGUGUGCCCCACGGGUGCACGACUCCCACCUAGGGCAGCGCUGGGGACCACAGGUCACCCCAGCCUGGGCACAGCAGGGACCAGGAGUGGGCUCCGCCCUCCCCUCCCCCACAGGAGGAGGCCAGAGACACCAGAGCGCAGGACUCCAGCGAUCACCUGGCAGCCAUGGUGCACUGGCCGAGGCCAGGCAGACCAUGUCGGGACCCUGUCCGGGAACCCCAACGCUGCUCAGAGGGACUUUGAGAGUGGUGCCUGGGUGGCUACGUGGGUUGAGCAUCGGCCUUCAGCUCACGUCUUGAUCCCAGGGUUCCCUGCUCAGUGCAAGACCUGCUUCUCCUCCAACCUCUGCCGCACCUCCUGCUUGUUCUCUCUCUCUCUGUCAAAGAAAUACAUAAAGUCUUUU
rnacentral:lncRNA from 1 species